GGUGGACGUCACAUGUGCAGCUCAGCUGUUGUGCUGAGAAUUGCUGACACGAGCAGUUCCAACCAGGAAAGCAGAGCUGCUUCCCACGGACAGAUUUUGGGGGUGGGUAGCAGGGACCCUCCUGACGGCUUGCUUCUGGGAUGUAGGAUGCAUUACGGAAAUCAUGAGCCUGUGUCCAGGCGUGGUCUCCUUUUCAUAGACCUGGGUACNCACCCCCCCCCCCCCCCCCCGCCCCCGCCGCAAGGCUGCCUUUUGGCUGCUGGCUGUGCCAUGGAAUGGAGCAUAUGUAUUUCUGCAUAUUUCCACUUUUGUGGUUUCAGUUCCAGGCUUUCAAAUUUUUUUUUCUUUUUUUCAGGAGAGAUCAGAGACAUACAGACUGUACUUCCUUCUGCGACACAGAAUUCGCACCUACUUGCUGAAUGGAAAACUUCCGUACAGAAUCCUCUCAUCUUUUUACGAGGAAGCCAUGGUCUCCAACUUCAAAAUUGAGGGACUACAUUUAAUUCGCGCAACUAUUCCCAACAGCCAAGACAUGGAAACACCCUAAAUGUCCAUCAACAGAGGAGUGGAUCAAGAAGAUGCAGUAUAUGUCUACAAUGGAAUAUUACUCAGCCGUAAAAAAGAAUGAAAUAAUGCCACUUGCAGCCGCAUGAAUGGGCCUAGAGAUUAUCAUACUCACUGAAGUUAAUCAGACAGUGAAAGACAAAUACCAUACACUAUCACGUCUAUGUGGAAUCUAAAAUAUGAUGCAAAUGAUCCUGUCUACAGAACAGAAACAGACUCACAGACAUAGAGAACAGGCUUGUGGUCGCC
rnacentral:lncRNA from 1 species